UGUUAAAACUUUCAUCCAUUUGUAUUGUUAAAAACUAGCGUAGCAGACAAAAUAAUUAACGACUAACAUGUGGUGUAUCACAUGUACCUCAUGUCAUAUUGAUGUAUAAGGACCAGUUGUUAAUAUUAAAAACAGAUGGAAUUUUUAAUA
rnacentral:pre_miRNA from 1 species